GAACCCUCUGUCACCGGGAAACCAACAUUCAAGCUGCCCAGGAAACCACCCUUAGAACCACUACUGUUUUGGUAGCUGCCGGCUCUAUUUGGAAACUGCUGCUAAGUCACCACCGAAGCUAAGAAUAGGUGCUGGGAUUUGAUGGAGCACCGCUGCUGCUGUGGAUUCGUAAUAUUGGGUUUACCGCGUUUAAAUUCUUCAAUUACGGCUAAUUGAGUGACACAGGUUCGAAGACUCCGUUUAAAGCUGCGAGCGAUUAU